rnacentral:rRNA from 1 species
GACGAACGCUGGCGGCGUGCCUAAUACAUGCAAGUUGAGCGCUGAAGGUUGGUACUUGUACCGACUGGAUGAGCAGAGAACGGGUGAGUAACGCGUGGGGAAUCUGCCUUUGAGCGGGGGACAACCUUUGAAAACGAAUGCUAAUACCGCAUAAAAACUUUAAACACAAGUUUUAAGUUUGAAAGAUGCAAUUGCAUCACUCAAAGAUGAUCCCGCGUUGUAUUAGCUAGUUGGUGAGGUAAAGGCUCACCAAGGCGAUGAUACAUAGCCGACCUGAGAGGGUGAGCAGCCGCAUUGGGACUGAGACACGGCCCAAACGCCUUGGGGAGGCAGCAGUAGGGAAUCUUCGGCAAUGGACGAAAGACUGACCGAGCAACGCCGCGUGAGUGAAGAAGGUCUUCGGAUCGUAAAUCUCGGUUGGUAGGGAAGAACGUUGGUGAGAGUGGAAAGCUCAUCAAGUGACGGUAACUACCCAGAAAGCGACGGCUAACUACGUG